rnacentral:rRNA from 1 species
CAGUCGCCGCGGGAAUACGGAGGGUGCAAGCGUUAACCGGAAUUACUGGGCGUAAAGCGUGCGUAGGCGGUUCGUUAAGUCUGUUGUGAAAGCCCCGGGCUCAACCUGGGAAUGGCAAUGGAUACUGGCGAGCUAGAGUGUGUCAGAGGAUGGUGGAAUUCCCGGUGUAGCGGUGAAAUGCGUAGAGAUCGGGAGGAACACCAGUGGCGAAGGCGGCCAUCUGGGACAACACUGACGCUGAGGCACGAAAGCGUGGGGAGCAAACAGGAUUAGAUACCCCCGUAGUCCCUGUCUCUUAUAC